AAUAUGAUAGCAGAAUACACAUGUGAAAUGUUUUGAGGUUAUACAUAAUUGAAUUAAGAAAUAUUAAUAAUUUUAGAAUUUUCUCGUGAAAUGUAGCUAUUGUAAACAAACCUGUUUAAAUAAAAAAGCUGCCCAACAUUUAUGUAUUCGAGAAUUUGACGAAUUUUUUGUUGAUCCAGAUACAUAUGAAUUUUGGGCAUACGAUGGUAAUAAAAUUGUUUCUGAAUUAUCUGACGAGCAUUUUGCUCAAUUAGAAAAUAUUGCUAAUAAGGAAAAUGCCAGUAUUAAUAUCAACCAAAGUAUCUCCAAUAAAAAAGUAAAAACAUCCAAAAAAACCAAGGCUCCUCUUAAUGUUGUUCAAUUAAAACUUGACCAAGAAGAGCAACUGAUUUUUGAAGUUAUGAACAGGAUACUUCUGUGGGAUUUUACAAUCCCAUUAAAAGGAGCAAAAUCAUAAAAACCAAACUAUGGUUAGAAGUAUCUGACUCACUUAAAGGUGCUUUUACCCCAGAUGGUGCUAAAAAAAAGUUUAAGGCAUUAACUGACACAUUUAGAAAAAUCAUUCGGGAUGAGCAAUGUCCAAGUGGUUCCGCUCGCAAAAAUAAUGGCAAUAAAUGGGCUCAUUACGAUUCCAUGCAAUUUUUGAGAGAUCAUUUCACUCCAAGAGAAUCUGCAACAAAUUGCGAAUCUGAGGAAAAUGAUUCUGAUGACAUUAAUUUAUCUAGUUAUGAAGUUGAUAAUGACAGUGUA